rnacentral:rRNA from 1 species
GACGAACGCUGGCGGCGCGCCUAACACAUGCAAGUCGAACGGAGUUACAUUGAAAGCUUGCUGGAUAUGUAACUUAGUGGCGGACGGGUGAGUAACACGUGAGUAAUCUGCCUUCCAGAGGGGAAUAAACGUUUGGAAACGAACGCUAAUACCGCAUAACGUGCGAUCCUCGCAUGGGGACUGUACCAAAGAUUUUAUCGCUGGAAGAUGAGCUCGCGGCCGAUUAGGUAGUUGGUGAGAUAACAGCCCACCAAGCCAACGAUCUGUAGCUGGUCUGAGAGGACGAUCAGCCACACUGGGACUGAGACACGGCCCAG